CGACCCCGCACCGCGCCCCGGGCUCGCCGCCCCGGCCCCUCAUAGCACCGCUGCUGGCGGGGCAGGAGCCCGCGGGGGUGGCGAGAGCAGAACCGCAGUCCCGCACCGCGGUGGUGAGGUCACCUCCGCUGGGGAGCCCCGGGUCCGAUGUGCCCCGGCCGAGGGCUCCGAGCUGCCGAGGCAGCUGCAAACGGAGGAGCCAGCUCAGGUAAUACCCACGUCCCUUCAGCCGACCCGCGCUGGGAGGAGCGGGGCAGAGGCGCAGAAAUGGUAUUCCAUGGAAAUCCUUUCUGUUUAUCUGCUGGCAUUGCCAAGCAUGUACUCCAAAGCCAACAUCCACGGACUAACAAUGUCUGCCUGUAAUUAUGUUGGGAGUAUCUUGAGAAGUAAGAAGCCAGAUAAAAUUCAAAGCAGGACAAGACAAUCUUCACAUGGAUUUUGAAAGUGCUGCAAGAUAGUGCAUUAAAGAGAUCAAGCAUAUCUGCUUUUUCCCUUUCCCUUCUGUCUGGGGAGCAAAUGACCUGCAUUAAAACAGUUUAACAGAACAACAAAACACAGCUAGUUUUAAGCAACAAAAAGACAGAAAUAGAGCAAGAGGAGUCCAAAAUUAAUUUGUGAAGCAGCUUGUUGCCUUCUGAAUCAUUGUUCAGAAACAUAAGUCUUUGCCUAUGUGAAUGGAUUUAUAUAGGGUUUAAAAAGAAAGGGUGAGAUCAAGUCUGGUGUUUAGGUUUGCCUGCCAUGCGUCUUCAUCUCAGUCACUCUCUCCUGUGGCACUCCCAUGGAAGGUAGGCCAAGAGAGUUUCACUCGGGGAAGCAAUAUAAAGACAAUGAGCUGAGUUUCACAUAUUUGCUCUCUUCUGCCAGUCUUCUUCCUUAAUCUCUGAAUAUCUCCAUGCACAAUCUCAUCUGUAAUUACAGCCUCAUUGGAACCUGUCAGCGUGAUACCUAUUAAUUACUUGCUUAAUAUUUAUUUAUUCGUAUAGCUUUUAUCUAUGUUGAAAAACAGAUUUUUAUUUUCAAUUGUUCAAAAUCAAGUGUUUAAAAACCACACAAAACCAACCCUGUUCUCCCAGGCACUCAUACACCAACGUGAGUGCAUU
ensembl:lncRNA